UUUGAACGUUCGAUCUCAAAUCAGGUAGGACUACCCGCUGAACUUAAGCAUAUCAAUAAGCGGAGGAAAAGAAACUAACAAGGAUUCCCCUAGUAACUGCGAGUGAAGCGGGAAGAGCUCAAAUUUAAAAUCUGGCGUGCCUCCGGUCGUCCGAAUUGUAGUCUCGAGAAGUGUUUUCCGUGCUGGACCGUGUAC
rnacentral:rRNA from 1 species